rnacentral:lncRNA from 1 species
CAUGUCUGUGUAUUCCUUAAAAUUAGCUCUUGGGCCAGGGAUUUAGCUCAGUGGUUCUGGCUCCUGCCUCACAAGCGCAAGGUCCUGAGUUCGAUCCCUGGUACCAAAGAAAACAAACAAAAAAUUAUUUAUUAAACCAGUUGUUUUCAAAUAAUUUUAAAGGUAGAAGAUGAAAUUUUCCAUGACUUCUGUGAAGAAAUUGGCCUGGAAAAUAUUCGUGAAUUUGAAAAUAAACAUGUUAAACAGCAACAAGAAAUUGAUCAAAAAAGGUUAGAAUUUGAAAAACAAAAAACCCGGCUUAAUAUUCAGCUUGAAUAUAGUCGCAGUCUGCUCAAGAAGAAACUGAGUAAGAUCAACACGUUAAAAGAAACUAUCCAGAAAGGUGGCGAAGACAUUGACAGCCUGAAGAAGGGAAUAGAUGCAGGCAGUGGAAGGGCCUCUUUGUGAGCUCGUGACCUUCAUGGAGGGCUGUUUGUGGAGCUCCUAACGGGUCCUCAGUGACAGGGAGGCCGCAGGGACUUGAGAACUGCUCCCAGUAAAAUCCCAGAGCUCCGUGGGUCCCUGGACAUCCAGUGGGAGGGAACACAGAGGUGGCUUCCACCUAAACUCUGACCUGAGUGGUGGGAGUCACUGGGCUCCGGAGCUGACUGCCUGGGCCAGGCCCUGAUGGUGCCUCCAUCAAGUAAAGAGCCUGCAGGUGGCAGAGAAGUUGGGCUGGAGCCACAGAUGGGAACUUGCUGGUGAUCAAGAGUAAACUGAAACCUUGUGAGAGGUGGAGACACUAGGCAGGUGCCAUGGAGUGCACUGGACUACAGGGCGAUGGGAUCCGGGAAUGGCUGGGCAGGUGAGGGGAGGCCCAAAGCGGAGAGGUCAGGAGCCUGGUGCUGCAGGAGGAGGUCUUGCUACAGAGGCAGCAUGGCGGUUGGUUCAGUUGCAGGAACACUGUCACUGGACGUGAGGUCAGCAAAUUGAGGUGUGGAUCUAAAAAGAAGGACAAAGGCAGGCAGUGACUGCCAAUUUCCAAAAGGUGUGGCAUGAUAGUGGGUCACAGCCUGUGGCAGCUUCAAUCCACACACAGGGGAACGACUGGGGUGGUCUACUUAUAAUGCUAGAACCUGCUGGUCUUACUAGUACACAGGAUGGUAAAUCUGCAGUGCAAACCCUCUCUGUUCAGAUUGAAUACAACUGUCUGCAAGUCGUGGAUGAACUCAUGGCAAAGCAGAAGCAACUUAAGGACAUAUUUG